GUCCGCAUCAUCUUCAUUCGAUUCGGCAGCGACGUUGUGUGCGUUUGUGCAAGGAGCAGGGGAAGAAGAGGAGGACGAUUGUUGCAGAGGAGAGCACGGACGACAGCAGUGACGGGGGAGACAAACGCGAAUUAUCCAUUUGCUGGGUCAUUGUGAUAAUAAGCAGUCCAGAGAAAUUCCACGUAGGGUCGUCACGCACUGCUUCUUGGCGGGGUCUGAUGAGGACAAGAGGGUGGGAAAUACCUGCGUGUUAAGACUGAGAGCAUUCGGCUGGAUUUCUUCCUCUGGUCCCAUUUCAAGUAAAAGGUGGAGAUGCAACAAAAACGUGAGGCGUACACACACACACACAAUCAUGGUAUAUGCGUUCGGAGGCUGAUGCUGUUGACUGGCUGACAGACUGCUUAGGAUGCAAUGGUCUUGGUUUAGGGGUAAAAUAAUGAGAAGAGAUAGAAAGAGAGAGAGAGUCAUAAUGAUGAUAUAUGGUAAUGAUGAACCUUAUUUUCAAUAUUUAAUAAGUAUCGCAUUUAAUAAGUGAUCGGUAUCUGUAUAUUGGCCAUUUAUACUUCUGAUCACUUAUUGAUUGUGCAUUACUGUAAUUGUAUUUAUUUGAUGGUAUUUGAUGACCGGCGGCCAUAUGAUUUCGUUCAUUUGGUUCUACGCCGGGUGUGUGGGAUUAAACAGGAUUUGUGUGUUUCUUUAUCCCUAGGGUGGCUUCCAGCUGCUGCUGUUGUCGUCACGCACCUACUGCCCUGCCCGAUGUCGAGUUAACGCUAUGAAAUUGAAAAAGAAACGAACAAGUACUUCCUCCUCCUCCCCACCCACACGCAAAUUGAAUAAGAGCGCAUAAGAAUCAAUCGAUCAAGACACAAAGACUUGGGAGGGCACGCUCCUUUUGGAUAUAGGUUGUUGUGAUCAGUAAGGUCUGUCUCUUUAAUUGUUAUUUUAUUUAUACAUUGUUGAAGCGAAUUGGGAAAGUUGUUUGUGGCUGCAGCGAUCGCGUGCAGCGCGCAAAAUGUGUGCGUAUUUGUUUUCUUUUAUUUUCCAGGAUAGAUUUCUCUCCAAUUACGCGCGCAUUCACGCACAACAGCAACAACAAUAUCUAUCUCUUCUCUCUCGAGAGCAAUCCAGAAAGCAAGCAAGCAAGCAAAUUAUGUCUCAUGCCAGUGGUGGGCCCCUUCUCCUAAACGAGCAAUGAAUAUCACGCUAGUCUUUGGCAAGUUUGUUGUAGCGAUUUGAAAUUGCAUGGUUUUAUUUUGUAAACUUUAAAUUAUUGUGUAAUAAUAUUUGCAUUCGCUGUGGUGGAAAUAUCCCCACACAUGUUUUAUGUGUCAAUGGAAUAUGCAUAUGUUUUUGCAGGCGAGAAGUUGUCCAGACAAUUAGGUCUUUCUUGAAGAAGUGCAUGUCUUCCAUUGAUCAGUCGGUGCACGCGUGCAGAUCUCUCAGGCAAGCACUCAAACACACACGGCCAUUAUAAGUAAUGCAUUCUAGCUAGUAGUGGUGUGACGAUUACUCGGUGCGUGGUCCCAUACACGACUAAAUAAAUUGAUAGGAGGAAGUGUGCGGUUAUGUCUCUAUCAUCAUCACCACCGUUUAUAUACAACAUGCACUGUUUGCAAUUGGUAUUUUCUCUUGCAGCACAUUUAAACUAUUUUCUAGAUAACUGCUGCUGUUGCUGGUGCAAACCAAAAGUUGCACGGAUCAUAUAUACAUAUUAAAACAUAUCCAGAAUAUAUAAAAAAGCAAGUCACGAGUUGUGGAUGGAUGGAUGUGGAUGGUUCACGUGGGGGAAAUUGCGUACACGCCCUACCACAGCCACACCAUACCAAAAACUAACUAGCUCUAUCAUAGUCGUUCUUUAUUCUUUCCGAAACUCUGCAAGAAGUUUAAGCGCAUCUUCUGGAAAAGGUAUCGCUCUCAUAUAAGAUUUAGGUUCACUCAUAGCUUUUUUACAGCGCUCGAAGCAUGAUUGUCUUUGGUGUGUUAGCUACACAUUAUUAGUAGAUAUAAUCUAUACAGUAUUAUGCCUAAUCAUCACCAAACAACCACAACCAUCAUACAACGUCUGCGCUGUCCUUCUUCGUACGUAAAACAAAGUAGCAGAAGAGCAUUAAGUAGUUUUUAGAUAUGUCUUGGAGAGAAGAGUGCACUGCGCAGUUUCUGCAUCCAGCAACUGAUUAGGAUGAUGUCCGAAGUUGCUUUUCUCCUCUGAUACACAUAGUAGAUCGAACGAUAAAUAUGAAUGGAAUUUCAACUCUUCCAUUAUAAAAUAAAAGCAAUGCGCGAAAAUAAUAAUAUGGAGCGUUGUCAAGGUGACGAAGAAAUCACUUGUUCCAUAGCUAACUAUAUUUUCAGUUCAGAGUCUGUCGAGAGGAAAGAGAGAAGAGAUCGAUCAGCAGCAGUCAGUCACGCUAAAUCAAUUCGCAAGAUCAUCUAGUCAGAUCAAACAAAUAUGAAUGAUGAUGUACAGCUGAUGCUGCCUUUCAUGUUCACUUUAUUAUGCCUUUAUCAAGUUGCUGCUGCUGCUGCUGCAAGGUAACAUUCUUUUCUGACUAAUAAUGACGUACAUUUUUUUGGGGAUCCAAUAGUCCAAUAUUGCUAUUGUCGAGUGGAGUCUGUUUGGAUUGUUUAGAAGCCACAGAGAUUAAUCUCGUCAAAUACUGAUUGAAAAUCAUAGGCGUUAUCGAAAACGAAUCGAAUAUUAUAUUACAGAAGUUCCGUCUGAUUCACAACGGAUCAAAAAGAAAGAUUGAAGAAAUAUGGGACAAACAUUCACAUUUACUUUUUAGCUUUUACUUGAAAACUAAGCGAACGCCGCACUAUGAAGACGAACGAAAGCCAGUAGUCGGAGCAUCCUCAAAAUUGUGUAUGUGCACUCGAUCCUCGUGCAUCACUCAAGAGAAAUGGUCAAAUUUAUUCACGACAACCUUGCCAAUGCAUCUACGAACGAUCGUUACCCCGUCACACCAGUAAAGGCGGUAUCGGCGGCACUGCGCUAUUAUGCACACUUGAUGAAGAUGAUGAUAGUAAUGAAGAAGCGAAGCAUACACAGUAAGAACAGCCACCUCGCAGCUAUCUUAAUCCCUGUAAUUCUAGAGCAUAUCAAUGAAAAAGUUGUGGCUCCAUCUAUCCACUGAUGUUGGAAAUUUGAGUAGCUAUCUCUAACUAGCCAACAACAAUAAGCUCGAGUUGGACGAGAAUAUGAAUUAAUAAUAUAUUAUUCAGGUACAAUUUCGCUUUUAUGAUCAUCUGAUGAUGUAAAACAACAUCCAAGUAAGUUUGUGAGUGAUGCGCAGUUUUCGUUUUCCUGUUUCAACUUAAUCUGUUCGAAAUCUAAUUAUAUCUUUUGUAAUGAAACGAAUGAUUUGCGAGAAAAGAGUUUUUAAAAUAUUCGAAUUUGUCGAAAGUGUAAAAGGUUAGUUUGUUGUUAGUUGUAAAUUGUGUGGGUGGGUGCUGUGUGUGUGUGUUCAGUUUGUUUUUGUUGUUGGUGAAGUGGUCAGUGGCGGUUCUUCUCUUCCUCUUGUCGUUUAAUUUUCUAUAUUCCAAUGGACUUGAGAGAGGGUGGAUAUGUUCAGGAUUUGUGUUCAAUUCGUUAGGGUUCGAUCUAUCGAUUUUGCAAGAAGAUUCUUCGUGUACAGUUUGGGGAUGCUUUCAAUUCAGAUAUGUGUUUGUUGAGAGAGAGCGAGAGGAUUCAUGUUUAGGAAUCAUUUCGGGUUAUGCAGUCACCCCGCAUAAGAAGAUAGAUGUUCUCCAAUUCUUCUAUUUGAUACCACACUGGCGUGUGAUCAAACGCCGCAGAAGAAAUGACGUUUCAUUCGUCGUUAUAAAACUGAUGGACCAAGAGAUCGACAUCUGGAGGAAUCGAGGUUUCAACGUAUCUGCAUUUCCAUAACGCCGGAGUGGAGUUCCAGAAGAAGAAGACGACGACGAUGGCGACGACCAGGGAGAGGUGAAGGUGACCAGGGCAACGGCUAGUUUGAUCUACAGCAGCAGCAGAAGAACGACGGGGGAUUUCCAUCAGACGAUGACAACUUAUGGUGGUGGUGGUGAAGAAGAAGCAGGAGGAGACGACGACUACGUUCCAGGACCAUCGCCUUCGGUGGAUUGAUUUCAAUGACAAUGGAGUCCGAAGCAGCAGCAGCAGAUGGAUGGGGUUCCAGGACAACAAACAACAGGUGGAUGGAUUCAAUUGGGAUCGUCAAUAGGGAAAGUAGUCUACGAGUUGCAACUACGGAACUGGACUUCGAAGGAGGAGGAGAACGAGAACGGAUUGCAGAGAUGAUCAUCACGUUCCAUUCGAGGACGGAUGCCGCCCUUUUCACAGAUGCUGGUUCCGACACGACCUAGGACCCAGGACGAUGGACAGAGCAGCAGCAGGGAUUCUCCGCAGACGUUCCGUGAGCAUUUUCUUCAAUUGGAUGAGAGUUCCAGGCCAUUGCAAUCGCAUCCAGGGGGCGAAAUCAUCGAGGAUGAAGAGAACGACGACUGCAAAGGAACAGCACAGCAGAGCCUUUUCGCUGCGACACGGGAUUCCAAAACAACUGCAAGAAGUCAUGGUAUUCUCUCACUCUUCAAUCUAGAGCAAAAGGGAUAGCGGAUUUCAAGAUACAAUUAACUUCAGAAGGAUUUUUCAACAACGAUGACUGAGGACCAUAACCGACCAUCCAACGCCACUAAACAACUUCCUCCACUUCGAACGAAUCCACACAUUCGGAUACGCAUGAUCGACGUCAACAAGAAGAAUCGUUGGAUCGGUUCCAGCUUUACGGUUCUUUCCUCUCGCAUAGAUUGGAUUUGGAUGGAUGAUCAUCAUGGACCCUCUUCUUAGGAUGGAUUUCCAGGACAACGAAGACUUCUACUACCACAUCGGAAGGAUUUCCAGGAUGACUGCGACUUCUUCACAUAGGACUACGGAGACGUCGGAUGGAUUUCCAGGACGAGACGGACGGCGGCAGGGCUUCUUCGGUAGACCUUUCUUUUUUUGGAUCGGUUUCUAGGACAUCAUGGGCGAGGAAUCUAGGACAACGGAACUUUCUUUCAACAUCAUAUGGACGAUCGCCCAGCAGAACCUUCUUCGGAUGGAUUUCAAGAACAACGGCGAUGACAUAUUAUUGGAUUGGUUUCAAGGAGGACGCGGACGUGCGUGAAGAGUUUCGACUACACCCGAUGGACGACGGAUGGCAGGGAUCUGCCUCUACUACUGGUGACUGUUUUGCAGAUUGGUUGGAUUGAUGGAUGUUUUAGGAAAGAGAUCCUGCAUGGCAUGACAGACUAGAGGAAAUUUAAAGAAGAUGAUGAUCAUAGUAUCGAUUAAUAACAACGUUGGUAUUUUCUCGAUAAUCGAUUGCUUCAGAUAUGGAAGUAUAUUUUUCUGUUUCGCUAUAGUUGAAUUACUUCAUUGUGAGAUGCAGACCCAAAUUAACAACAAAUGAUGAUGAUGCUUUAAAAUGCUCCGAUGAUUCCAAUGAAAUCAAAUGUUAAAGAUGAUGAUCGAACGAAGUUUCAAGGAUCAGCAGAUGUGAGGAUGAUGCUUUCUGGAUUGGAAUGGAUGAAAAUAUAUCGAUAAUUGUAUAAUACCCUCUUAAUGUAUUUUACUUAACAUGUAUUGAUUUCAAGGAGAACGAAAAUACUUGUGGAUAACAGCAGACAAUCAAUGGUCACUAAUAUUAGAGUUCACUGCAAUGCUAUACCUAAUUACGAAUGGGAUGAACGAAGGAGGAAAUAAUAUGGUAUACCAAUUGUUAUUUGUAAUUGACUGAAUUCAGCACGACGGACGGAUGGAUGAUGAAUUGCUGCCUAUUGCCGAUUUCUAUUGUUAAUGAAAGAUAUACACACAACAACAACAAAACGAUGAUGAUGUGAAUGAAGUGGAACCAACUUAGCCAAAAUGGAGAUCUUGUUGAUGUCAAAUUGCAUUUCGCUGCAAUUCCAGGAGUUCAGAGAUGAUGAUAUUUAAAAUCUAUCUAUAUUCAUAACCGCACAUUUCAAACGUGGAGAUUGCAGACUGCAAGAUCGUGAAGAAAAGUGGAAUGGUGGAUGUAGGGAGCCAUAAUAAUUCACUUUUCUAUAACGAGAUUGACAGCUGCAUCGUUUCACACCAGGACGACGACGACGAUGACGACGACGAAACAGACAGCCCAUGAUGAUCAGCCAGCCCACCUAUGGAUGGAAGAGGAUGGAUUAAUGGAUUUAUUUCAGUACCACAAGACGACGAGCAUCUGUACCACGAGAUGCUGCAAUGAUCACCAGAUGGAUGGAUCUAUCGAUCAGUGGAUGGAUUUCGAUGCGAACAUUGUUGGGGGUGGAGGGUCGACCAUGAUUGAUACUUUUCCAGGAAUCGAGAAUUUCGUGAUGAUCGGACCACUUCCUCCACUGUUGCUGAUAGCAAGUAGCAAUCGUAGUUCUUCAGUACCUGAAGGUGGAGGGCCAAAGAGGAUUGCACGACCGACGACGACGACGAAGCCACCAUCGAGGAAAACAACAAACUUUGAUUGCUACCAGAACAAAGAUCACGACGACAACCCCGACUACGAUUGUAACUUGUUCGCAGAAGCCAGAGGACGAAGCAGGAUUGCUGUUGCCAACGCCAGAAUCAACGAAGGACGACAACGACUGCUACUUUCUGCUGCUAUUAAUACUUGCACCAGGAUCUACGGAGGAGAAAUACCUUUGCUACUUGCCCCCAGGACCCAGAGGACCGACGAGUAUUGCUGUUGCCAACGCCAGAAUUAACGAAGGACGACGACGACUGCUACUUUCUGUUGCUAUUAAUACUUGAACCAGGAUCUACGGAGGAGAAAUGCCUUUGCUACUUGCCCCCAGGACCCAGAGGACCGACGAAGAUUGCUGUUGCCAACGCCAGAAUCAACGAGGGACAACUGCUACUUUCUGCUGCUAUUAAUACUUGAUGGAGGAUCUACGGAGAAGAAAUACCUUUGCUACUUGCCCCCAGGACCAAGAGGACCGACGAGGAUUGCUGUUCCCAACGCCAAAAUCAACGAUGGACGACAACGACGACUGCUACUUUCUGCUGCUAUUAAUACUUGAUGGAGGAUCUACGGAGGAGAAAUACCUUUGUUACUUGCCCCCAGGACCAAGAGGACCGACGAGUAUUGCUGUUGCCAACACCAGAAUCAACGAAGGACGACGACGACGACUGCUACUUUCUGCUGCUAUUAAUACUUGCACCAGGAUCUACGGAGGAGAAAUACCUUUGCUACUUGCCCCCAGAACCCAGAGGACCGACGAGGGUUGCUGUUCCGUCCCAUCUCCAGAACCCAGAGGAAAGACGAGGAUUCCUGUUCCCAUCCCCAGGACCCAGAAGACCGACGAGGAUUGCUGUUGCCACCCCCAGGAUUAAUGAAGGAUGACUACUACAUUGUUACUUGACCAAUAAUCUACGGAGAACUUCCAUUGCUGCAUCAUGCUACCAGAUGACAACUUGUCCAAGGUUCUACGGAGGAGAACUACUUUUGCUACUUGCCCUCAGGAACCAGGAUAGAUGACCAUUGCUAUUUGGACCACCUCGCCCCCCCACAGGACCAAAGAAGGAGGACGACCACCAGGACCCAGGAUUGCCGUUGCUAUUUUGAUCACCAAGAAGGAGGCUGAGAUUGCUGCUGCAUGCUGUGAGGAGGACCCAUGGAGAAGAACUACUACCUUUACUACUUACCCCGUCAUGAUCUGUAGGAUGUGGAGACUACAAUUACACCAAGGACGCAAGAAGAAGGACCUCGACGACUACUAGUUGAUCCCCAGGACCCAGGAUGGAGGAUUAAGAGUUAUCACCGAGGAACCAGGACUACGAGGACUACUAAUAUCGCACCAAGGAGGACCCCAAGGAUCCAGGAUGGAUGACUUCUGUUGCCAUUUGUUUCCAGGACCCAGGAAGGAUGACUACUGUUGCCACCCCCCACCGCCCCCCGCGUGCUCUAGGAAGAAGAUGACUACUGCCGUCCAGGAUUUAGGAAUCACCAUUGCCUAUCAUCACCAGGAUUUUGAAAAGAGGAGACUAUCGCUAUUAUUUCGUCUCCUGAAAGUAGAUAGUUGCGCUAGAAAUUGUAUCCUGUUCGUAUGAUUCAGUAAAAAAAAAA